CCACCUGCCAGUCCUGAUUGUGUGAGCACUGUUCCCUGACUAAGUCCCAUCCACAGGCCUGUCAGCUGAAGACCGAGACCAUCACCUAUGAGGAAAAGGAACAGCAGCUGGUGAACGACUGUGUGAAGGAGCUGAGGGAUGCCAACGUCCAGAUUGCGAGCAUCUCAGAGGAGCUGGCCAAGAAGACAGAAGAUGCUGCUCGCCAGCAGGAGGAGAUCACGCAUCUGCUGUCGCAAAUUGUGGACUUGCAGAAGAAGGCAAAGGCUUGUGCGGUGGAAAAUGAAGAGCUCGUCCAGCACCUGGGCGCUGCCAAGGACGCCCAGCGGCAACUCACAGCAGAGCUGCGUGAGCUGGAGGACAAGUAUGCAGAGUGCAUGGAAAUGCUUCACGAGGCACAGGAGGAACUGAAGAACCUGCGCAACAAGACGAUGCCCAACACCACGUCCCGGCGCUACCACUCCCUGGGCCUGUUCCCCAUGGACUCCUUGGCUGCAGAAAUUGAGGGAACUAUGCGUAAGGAGCUGCAGCUGGAAGAGCCAGAGUCUCCAGACAUCACGUAUGACUGCAUGGUUUUUGUAUUUCAAGUUCCCACAAACUGACUCAGGACUGGUUCUGUUUAUAACCUA